rnacentral:rRNA from 1 species
GAUGAACGCUGGCGGCGUGCCUAAUACAUGCAAGUCGAACGGAGUAUAGCAAUAUACUUAGUGGCGAACGGGUGAGUAACACGUAGGUAAUCUACCUUUAAGACGAGGACAACAGUUGGAAACGACUGCUAAUACUGGAUAGGACCUAAGAACAUAAGUUUUCUGGUUUAAAGUUUUAAUACACUUAAAGAUGAGCCUGCGGCGCAUUAGUUAGUUGGCAUGGGUAAAAGCCUACCAAGACAAUGAUGCGUAGCCGGACUGAGAGGUUGAACGGCCACAUUGGGACUGAGAAACGGCCCAGACUCCUACGGGAGGCAGCAGUAGGGAAUUUUCGGCAAUGGGCGAAAGCCUGACCGAGCAACGCCGCGUGAAGGAUGAAGUAUUUCGGUAUGUAAACUUCUUUUAUAAGGGAAGAAAUGAUGCGAAGAGCAUUUUUGACGGUACCUUUUGAAUAAGCCCCGGCUAAAUAUGUGCCAGCAGCCGCGGUAAUACAUAUGGGGCGAGCGUUAUCCGGAAUUAUUGGGCGUAAAGGGUGCGUAGGCGGCAUAAUAAGUUGAAGGUUUAAUGUAGAUGCUCAACAUCUGAGUAGCUUUCAAAACUGUUAAGCUUUUGAGUGUGGUAGAGGUAAGUGGAAUUCCAUGUGUAGCGGUAAAAUGCGUAAAUAUAUGGAGGAACACCAGCGGCGAAGGCGGCUUACUGGGCCAUUACUGACGCUGAGGCACGAAAGCGUGGGGAGCAAACAGGAUUAGAUACCCUGGUAGUCCACGCCCUAAACGAUGAGUACUAUAUGCUAGAAUUAAUCUAGUGUUGUAGCUAACGCUUUAAGUACUCCGCCCUGAGUAGUACGUACGCAAGUAUGAAACUUAAAGGAAUUGACGGGACCCCGCACAAGCGGUGGAUCAUGUUGUUUAAUUCGACGAUACGCGAAGAACCUUACCAGGCCUUGACAUACCCAGCAAUGCUUAAGAAAUUAAUGCGGAGGUUAUCUGGGAUACAGCCCCCCGCAUGGUUGUCGUCAGCUCGUGUCGUGAGAUGUUCGGUUAAAAAAAAAAUAACGAGCGCAACCCCUAUUUCUAGUUACUAAUGUGUAAUGACAAGGACUCUAGAGAGACUGCCAUAAUGGAGGAAGGUGGGGAUGACGUCAAAUCAUCAUGCCCCUUACGGCCUGGGCUACAAACGUGAUACAAUGGCUGGCUAACAAAGUGAUGCAAGACUGCGAGGUUAAGCAAAUCACAAAAAAACAGUCUCAGUUCGGAUUGAAGUCUGCAACCCGACUUCAUGAAGCCGGAAUCGCUAGUAAUCGCAAAUCAGAAUGUUGCGGUGAAUACGUUCUCGGGGUUUGUACACACCGCCCGUCAAACCACGAAAGUCCAUAAUACCCAAAACCGGUGGCCUAACAAGUAAUUGAGGGAGCCGUCUAAGGUAGGGUGGGUGAUUGGGGUU